AAUCACAAUUACAAAAGAUUGUUGCAUUGUCUUCAACUGAGGCAGAAUAUAUAGCUGCAACUGAUGCAAUUAAAGAGGUAAUUUGGCUAAAAGGACUUCUAAAUGAAUUUGAUUUCAUAAAUGAUGUUGUCUUACAUUCUGAUAGCCAAUCUGCUAUAUAUUUGAGUAGAAAUCCUGUGCUACAUAAUAAAUCUAAACAUGUUGAUGUGAAGUUUCAUUUUAUUAGAGAUGUAAUUUUUCAAGGUCUUGUUAAGCUUGAAAAGAUUUCUACCCAUUUUAACCCUGUUGAUGUUGGAACUAAAGUGCUGCCUUUAAAACAGCUGAAUAUUAAUGUUUGCUGAUUUGUGCAUCAGGGAAUAAGAGCACAUGAUGUCAUGUUUGGAGAGAUCACUAUAAAUGAUAUUGGAAUCGUUGUACCAAGGUGGAGAAUAUAGAGAAAGUGGCAAAAUCAUGGACCGGAAUGAACCUGCUAUUAAGUCAGUGGGCCGAGUGAUCCAAAUUGAUAAAUGUUGCUGUUUCACUUUGCCAAAAACCUGCUGCUGAAACACGUUUCUGCUGGUUUUAAUAGAUGCUGCCCAGAUUUUGCCAAGUGUCCAAUUAUGCACCAUUGGAUAGAGAAUUCUAGAUGCUUCUAUAUUAAUUGGCAUUAGUGCUUGGACGAAACAACAGAAUUCAUUUUUUUCACUCUUUCGCCUAUCAAACUCUCUCUUUCUCUCGGUGGUCCUUUGUCUUCCGAUUUUGCACUCCAAAAAUUUAGCCUGUUGAUGGGAAAUUAAUCCAGCCUUGUAUAGUUAAUCUUGAGUGAUUUAACAAGGUGUAUUGGUGCUAUUCGUAAGUGAAUGCCAUUGUCGAAAGAGAAAGGCUUAUGUAGAAACUAUUUUGAGUGAAUGUUGUACAGUAUGUCAGGCUUAUUUUUGGAAGAAAUCUUGUGUGAUUCCGGCUAAGUGCUAUGAAGAUUGUA
rnacentral:lncRNA from 1 species